UUCCCUUUGUCAUCCUAUGCCUGGAGAUCGCAGAGAGGCAGGGACAGCAAAGGGGUGC
rnacentral:pre_miRNA from 1 species